GAUGAACGCUAGCGGGAGGCCUAAUACAUGCAAGUCGAACGGUAACAGGUAGCAAUACGCUGACGAGUGGCGUACGGGUGCGUAACGCGUACACAAUCUGCCUUAUACUGGGGCAUACCCUUUGGAAACGAAGAAUAAUUCCCCAUAAUAUAUAGAGAAGGCAUCUUCUUUAUAUUAAAACUCCGGUGGUAUAAGAUGAGUGUGCGUCCGAUUAGAUAGUUGGUGAGGUAACGGCUCACCAAGUCUACGAUCGGUAGCUGGUCUGAGAGGAUGAUCAGCCAAACGGGCACUGAGACACGGGCCCGACUCCUACGGGAGGCAGCAGUAGGGAAUAUUGGACAAUGGGCGCAAGCCUGAUCCAGCCAUCCCGCGUGAAGGAUUAAGGUCCUAUGGAUUGUAAACUUCUUUUCUCUGGGAAUAAAAACUGGGGUUUUCCCCAGCCUGAAGGUACCAGAGGAAUAGGCACCGGCUAACUCCGUGCCAGCCGCCGCCGUAACAC
rnacentral:rRNA from 1 species